rnacentral:rRNA from 1 species
UACGUAGGGGGCAAGCGUUGUCCGGAAGUAUUGGGCGUAAAGAGCUCGUAGGCGGUUCGUCGCGUCGGCUGGGAAAACUCGAGGCUCAACCUCGAGACGUCGGUUGAAACCGUACGGCUAGAGUCCGGAAGAGGAGAGUGGAAUUCCCGGUGUAGCGGUGAAAUGCGCAGAUAUCGGGAAGAACACCCGUGGCGAAGGCGGCUCUCUGGGACGGUACUGACGCUGAGACGCGAAAGCGUGGGGAGCGAACAGG